UACGUAGGGGGCUAGCGUUGUCCGGAAUCAUUGGGCGUAAAGCGCGUGUAGGCGGUCCGGUAAGUCCGCUGUGAAAGUCGGGGGCUCAACCCUCGGAUGCCGGUGGAUACUGUCGGGCUUGAGUACGGAAGAGGCGAGUGGAAUUCCUGGUGUAGCGGUGAAAUGCGCAGAUAUUAGGAGGAACACCAAUUGCGAAGGCAGCUCGCUGGGACGUUACUGACGCUGAGACGCGAAAGCGUGGGGAGCAAACAGG
rnacentral:rRNA from 1 species